AAUCUGGGGUCCCCGACCUCCGAGUUGUAAUUUGGAGAGGCAUCUUCGGGGGGGAGCGCCGGCCCAUGUUCCUUGGAACAGGACGUCGCAGAGGGUGAGAAUCCCGUGCCAGGCCGGCUCCCUCCUCCCGGGUGAAGCGCCUUCGACGAGUCGAGUUGUUUGGGAAUGCAGCUCCAAGUGGGUGGUAAGUUUCAUCUAAAGCUAAAUACCGGCGGGAGACCGAUAGCGCACAAGUAGAGUGAUCGAAAGAUGAAAAGCACUUUGAAAAUAGAGUCAAAAAGUACGUGAAAUUGUUGAAAGGGAAGCGCUUGAGACCAGACUCAGGCCCGGGCAAACACCGCGCCCCCCCGGGGCCGUGCAAUUGCCUGGGGCUGGGCCAGCAUCAGUCGGCGUGGCGGGAAAAAGGCGCGGGUAAUGUGGCUCCCCUCGGGGAGUGUUACCAGCCCCGCGCUCAAUGCCGCCGACGCCGACUGAGGACCGCGCCUCGGCUAGGAUGCUGGCUUAAUGGCCUUCAGCGACCCGUCUUGAAACACGGACCAAGGAGUCUAACAUCUAUGCGAGUGUUUGGGCGCCAAACCCUUGCGCGGAAUGAAAGUGAGCG
rnacentral:rRNA from 1 species